UACGUAGGCGGCCUGUUAAGUCAGUGGUGAAAGUUUGCGGCUUAACCGUAAAAAUUGCCAUUGAUACUGACAGGCUUGAGUACAGUUGAGGUAGGCGGAAUGUGUAGUGUAGCGGUGAAAUGCUUAGAUAUUACACAGAACUCCGAUUGCGAAGGCAGCUUACUAAACUGAGACUGACGCUGAGGUACGAAAGCGUGGGUAGCGAACA
rnacentral:rRNA from 1 species